CCCGGCUUUCCACAGGAGCCGUCAGCAGCACGUUACUGCAGCAGCACGUCAUAGCUGCUGAUAGGAACGGCUGUGGUCAACAGAACCUUUUCCACUGGAGCCGUCGGCAGCCGUCAGCAGCGCGAGUCGGCCGCGUCUCAGGAGCAGCAUGUCGCGGCCUUUACGCGCCGGUUCUAUUUCCUACGCGCGACGCCUCUGAAACGGGUCAAGUUCGACAUUUUUGGGGAAGGAAAGACAGGAAAUCGGACGCGGAAAUGGAGAGAAGCUCCCGAGAUUUUCAGAAUAAAGAACGUACUGCCUUCCGGUCGCUUUACUUUAAAAAAGGUUACUAACUGUGCGUCCCCGUGAGAAGUUAUCACCUAGCUAGCGGUCUCCUUUGUUUUUCAGGUCCGUAUUGGCAAUUAUAAAACGGACAGAACAUAAAAACACAAACAUUUUGGAGCCAUGUUGUAGUUUUCUCCUGCUUGUUGUUGUGUUUACUGACGAAGUCAUUCGUGUGACUUCGUGCUCGGUCGGUGACAGCUGCUCCCCUGCUGCUUCGCGUCUCGUGGGAAGGGCCAAGCAGCAGCUUACGCGAGCAAGACCUGCUGAUAGGAACGGCUGUGGUCAACAGAACCUUUUCCACAGGAGCCGUCAGCAGCGCGAGUCGGCCGCGUCUCAGGAGCAGCAUGUCGCGGCCUUUACGCGCCGGUUCUAUUUCCUACGCGCGACGCCUCUGAAACGGGUCAAGUUCGACAUUUUUGGGGAAGGAAAGACAGGAAAUCGGACGCGGAAAUGGAGAGAAGCUCCCGAGAUUUUCAGAAUAAAGAACGUACUGCCUUCCGGUCGCUUUACUUUAAAAAAGGUUA